GACAUUUGGUACAGACAUUGUUGAAGCCACCUGGUCCCAGAAGACCCCAGAAGGUGGCCACAUUCACUGGUGCUGGGCAAGGCAGUUACAGGUGAAGCCUGGUGCCAGAUGUGU
rnacentral:rRNA from 1 species